UGGGGGAGUAUUGCACAAUGGGGGGAACCCGUGAUGCAGCGACGCCGCGUGGGUGAAGGAGCGUUUCGGCGCGUAAAGCCCUAUCGGCAGGGAAGAAGGAGGACGGUACCUGACUAAGAAGCCCCGGCUAACUACGUGCCAGCAGCCUCGGUAAUAUGACGCU
rnacentral:rRNA from 1 species